UGUUAGCCCUGAUCGCAGCGGCAUCCUUUUCCUGAAUUUUUUAAUCAGGAAAAGAUAUAGAGAAGAGCAGGAAAUAGC
rnacentral:sRNA from 1 species